GCUACGGCAAAAUCCGUAGCCGGAAUUGGCGUUCCGACGAUUACCACGGUGUCUAAAAAACACGUACAUCAUGUUGCGUGUUUUUU
rnacentral:sRNA from 1 species